GCGCUCGCGCGCCGUACCGGCCUUUGGCCUGGCGCUCCGCGAGGGCGCGGCACGAGCCGCGACGGCCGGUUGGCCUUGCGAGACGUGCGUCUCGUUGGCGAAAGCCGAUUUGCGGCGCAGUCUAAGGGCUUGUAGCUCAGUUGGUUAGAGCGCGCGCUUGAUAAGCGUGAGGUCGGAGGUUCAAGUCCUCCCAGGCCCACCACUUCGCAAUCCACAAGGAUUGUCGGAUCUCCUCGAUACUCAUCGGGAAACACUAUCAGGGGCCGUAGCUCAGCUGGGAGAGCGCCUGCUUUGCAAGCAGGAUGUCGUCGGUUCGAUCCCGUCCGGCUCCACCACUUUCUUGUCUUUGGGACCAAGAAGGGGUGUCGAGUGGAGGUGAGGGAAAAAGUCAUUCGUAAAAAGAGUUUGCGGCGAGCACUUGGCUCUCCGCCUGUUCUGUUUGACAUCGUAAAGAGAAGAUUUGUUCGAACUUCAUGAGCCGCAAGGGUCAUGAUUUGUCGCAAGGGACGCUCAAUCCCUUGCAUAUGAUGGGCUUGCCUAACCGCACCCUCGAACCGAUCUCGAGAAGCUGGUCUUUUUGUGCCAAU
rnacentral:tRNA from 1 species